rnacentral:rRNA from 1 species
UACAGAGGGGGGCAAGCGUUAUUCGGAAUUAUUGGGCGUAAAGGGCGCGUAGGCGGCUUGGCAAGUGGAUGGUGAAAUCCCCCGGGCUUAACCUGGGAACUGCGCUUGUAACUGGCAAGCUUGAGUGUGGCAGAGGGGGGGUGGAAUUCCACGUGUAGCAGUGAAAUGCGUAGAGAUGUGGAGGAACACCGAUGGCGAAGGCAGCCCCCCUGGGCUAACACUGACGCUCAUGCACGAAAGCGUGGGGAGCAAACAGG